rnacentral:rRNA from 1 species
AUUGAACGCUGGCGGCAGGCCUAACACAUGCAAGUCGAACGGUAGCACAGAGAGCUCGCUCUCGGGUGACGAGUGGCGGACGGGUGAGUAACGUCUGGGAAACUGCCCGAUGGAGGGGGAUAACUACUGGAAACGGUAGCUAAUACCGCAUAACGUCGCAAGACCAAAGUGGGGGACCUUCGGGCCUCACACCAUCGGAUGUGCCCAGAUGGGAUUAGCUAGUAGGUGGGGUAAUGGCUCACCUAGGCGACGAUCCCUAGCUGGUCUGAGAGGAUGACCAGCCACCCUGGAACUGAGACACGGUCCAGACUCCUACGGGAGGCAGCAGUGGGGAAUAUUGCACAAUGGGCGCAAGCCUGAUGCAGCCAUGCCGCGUGUAUGAAGAAGGCCUUCGGGUUGUAAAGUACUUUCAGCGGGGAGGAAGGCGGUGAAGUUAAUAGCUUCACCGAUUGACGUUACCCGCAGAAGAAGCACCGGCUAACUCCGUGCCAGCAGCCGCCGUAACAC